GGAGAGAUGCCAGAGCGGUUGAAUGGGGCGGUCUCGAAAACCGUUGACGGCUUUGUCGUCCCAGGGUUCGAAUCCCUGCCUCUCCGCCA
rnacentral:tRNA from 1 species